CUAGUUUCCCUUCACAGCGGCAGCGGGGGGCACAGCAGCAGCGGAUCUUGCCCUGGUGCGGCGCCGCCCCGGGUAAAAGUCCUGCUUGCCCGUGGCAAGAUCCGCUACUGUACAGCACUUACAUAUUUUCCCGUCGCUCUGCGUUCGAAGCCGCAGUAUUGAUGCAAAUAGCAUCCACCUCUGAAUCAGGCCUACAGUAUGUGUAAUAAGCCCCACUCAUUUAUUUUUAUAGGCAAUAUUUUAUUGAAUUCUCAUUUCUCAGUAGCCCUGGCCGGGAGAGCGUGCCUAUAGAUACACCCUCCUGACCCCAUGCACGCGGCUGCAUCACCAAUACUGCAUACUGGCUGAGCACACGUGGGGGCGCACUACUUUACCUGACAGGCAACGCGUUGCGGCUGCGCGGAGGAGGACGGUUGCGGCAGGACGGUUGGAGAUGGCGCUUAGCGGUCGUCCUUUACCAGCUAGGCCGCAUCACAGCACCGGGACCAGGGCGGAGUGUGGGCCGGGAGGAGGAGCAAUGACAGCGGUAGGUUGUCACGUGCUACUGAAUGAAAUGGAUGUAAAAAAAAUAAGAAAACCUCUUCAACCGGCAAGACCUAUUCGCCGCAGUGUAUCUGGUAAUGGUCCUCAAAUUAUGUUAAACCUGCGGACAGAGUUUACAGAUUGCUGUAAAGACAACAUACAGGAUAACUUUCGGCUGGUAUACUUUCAGUUUUGCUAAAUGAGAGUAGAUGCCUGUUUGGAGUUAAAAUUCAUUGGUGCUCUAUUAACAACUUGUAUGGCGCAUUAAAGGAUCCUGUGGUUCCCACGCAACCAGAAAAGCCACAGAUGCCAACCAGAAAAGACAGAAUCACCUAUACCAGAGACUUCCUGAUUCAGCUGUCAAGUUUAUCUGUGUCCAAAGAGAGACCAAAAUACUUACCGGAUCACCCUGUUGUCCUUCAGCGCCCACUCUUUGACCUGUCUGCAACUGCUCCCCCCUCAUCAGCCGGCAUCUCUGUGUAGGGAGCGAGUCUCCCUACAAAUUCCCGGACCAGUUUAAGUAUUAUUUGUCAUCUGUAAGAAGAAAAACGGAUUUCUGAAAUAUUUAUACAUAGAUUGACAACAUUUUUGUUCACUGGAAACUAACUAAAAGCCAUGGAAAACUCAAAGGAAUAGACAUUGGAAUUUGUUUUUGUGUUUAUAGACUAUUUAAUGUACAGUAUAUAGCGUUUGUAUGUAUAGAUGUUUUGUGUGACUACUAUUUUUGUUUUUUUUUCCUUCAUCUCGCUCACAAUUUACCAUUCUUAGUUAUGUUGCAUAUUUUCAUUUGUGUUUGAAAUGUUUAAGAUCUUCUUUGGCUAAGAUAUUGUAAAAAUAUAUUUUCAACUUCUGCUGAAGACAAAUCAGCAAAAGAUUUUCGUUUAUAGAGAAACUUUAAGGGUUUUUUUUGUUUGUUUUUUUUUGUUUGUUUUUUUGCAUUUGAGGGUGAUUUAAGUAACAUUUCCAUGAUUGUCAGAACAAGUGUUUACACCAAGAACUAUUGGGGCGGCCGCAGAGACGAUCCUUUCUCGUAUGCACUUAUGGAGUGUGCACAUAAGAUAAAUGGUGAAAGAUAAAAUCACUGAAUAGGUACACGCUUCAAAAUUGCAAUUCCAAUCCGUGUCCCAUCGAGAUUCCUGCACAGAAGUAGGACAUCGCCCACCUCUGACUCGCCCCCAGGGUGACUACCCUCCUAUUGGAAACAGAUCUAUGUAAGUGCUAGAUUAGAAAUUUAAAAUAUUCAUGCUCGUUGAUAUUUUCACCUCUAGGUGUUGGGGCAACACUAUCUAGGCCUCUGUUCUAGCCAGGGUUGUGAAAUUAUAACUUCCCUACGUUACUAACACCCACCCGACACACCUUGUAAAUGUGCAAAGCAUUAAAGUCCCAUCGCUAUAAUGCUGAUGUGGUAGUAUUGAAGUUAGGACCGGUGCCAUAGUGAUAUGGCCAAAUAUGCACACUGUCCUGCUUAAGAAAGGAGAGAGAAACAGUAGAUCUUAAAUUAUAUUUUCUACAUAAGUUUCUCCUUUCUUACCUUCAGCUGGUUGUCCUUUAGAGUCCAUGGGUGGGAUGUGCCAAAGCAAAAAUGCGGUAAAAACCCAUUUUUUUUUUUAUUUUUUUUUUUUACAGUGUUUUCAAAUGUGCUAAGUUCUGGACACUUUUGUUGGCAUUACGCUAUAGAAGCCUAUGGGCUUCUGUCCGCAUUCUGCUGUGUGAGAGAUUUGAUCUGAUCAUUUCCCAGUAUGCCUCGGGGGGCCGCUGUGUCCCUCUGCCCAUACACAGAUGGACAGCUUGGGCUGAUACCUGGAAGUCCAGGGUCCGAGACGCAUCGUGAAGGACAGCUCUGAGCGCAAGAACUGUCCUCUGCAACACUAAUCGCAUAUGCGAUUUAAAAAAAAAAAUCUAUAUGUGUGUGUAUGUAUGUAUGUGUAUAUAUAUAUAUGUAUGUGUAUAUAUAUAUGUAUGUGUGUGUAUAUAUAUAUAUAUAUAUAUAUAUGUGUGUGUGUAUGUAUGUAUAUAUGUAUAUAUAUAUAUAUAUACAUACUGAGAGAGGGUAGAGAAAAUACCAUCACAGUACCAUUGUCAGCAUGAGAUGUGAACCUUAAAAAAGAGGUACAUUUAAUAGAGAAAUGUAAAAACAUACUGUAAUGUAUAUUGCUGAUUAAAUGGCAGGUCUUUGUCCAAGUCAUUGACUGCAGGUGAGGGAUAGACUUAUGCAAAAAUAUGGUAAUAUACAAACAGGAAACGGUCAACAUUUUUGUGAGGAUAGAAGCAGGAGCAUAUUGAAUGGGCGACAGGUCCUGGUGGAAGAAGAUUGGCGUUUAGUAUAAGAUGGAUUUUCGCAAAAUUAUGGCAGUAUGCGCUAGAAUCUCAACGAUCAAUUUAUAAAUAAAUGGCUCUUCUGACAUCCAUGAAAAGAGAGUACAAAUCACUCUGUUCUACAUCAUAAUCCUACUGUAUGACACCCUCCAAUAUAUACAUGGCAAUAGUAAAUCCCACGUGUUCCAACAUUGCUGUAUAUAUGACUAUGGUGUGGGUGUAGGACAUGUCACACUACUGCAGUGCUUUCUAUAUUGGGUAUACCAAUAAUAAGUCUGCCUGCCUGCUGGUAUAAAGCGCAUCUAGAAGCUAGUAAAAAAAACAACAGGGUAAUCAGUAAAUGUACUGUGAGAACAUGCACGUUGUACUGUAGGUAGCAAUGUUGUGUGUGGGGCUAAUAUAUGAGAUUGCAGCCUGACCAAUCACUGGGAGGCGGUGACAUCACAGUGGGGCUUCAUGCCAAAAUAUUCACCAAGCAUUACUUCCUGCAUUAUUACUGGCAAUUCUCUGAGUGGCUGUCAUUUGAUGAAGGAAAACCCGUUUAAAUAAACUCCUCACCACAUCA